CCGGUGUACAUUGUCAGAGCAGGUAAAACGGAAGUCUAGGGCUAAAGACGACACAGCAGCUCUCAGGGAGAAGCCAACUUCAGCUCAACAAGAAGAUUAAGAAAUUCUACAGUUUUACUUUCCUUUAUUUUUAAUAUUGAAAUCACAUUUUCAGAAUUUCUUUUUGGUAUAUUGGAGAUUUUUUGUUUUUUUCAAAUGUCAGGAAAUACAACAAUUAUUUUUAUCCAGCCUUCGGUGACUGAAGGACCAGUUUCUUCUGAAGGAACUCCACUUCUUCCUGGCUCCACACCUGAGUUUAAAGACUGCUCCUGUGCAGACUGCUGUGUGGUCUGCUGUGGCUGUGUGAGCCUCAUCGUUCUGAGCAUCCUGGAGAUCUUGUGUUGUCCCUUCACUUUCCUCUGUUCACUCUGUGAUAAUCACUAGGGUCAGUCUACCUGCCCCUCAAGGAGAAUGCAUGUUUUAAGGGAAAAGGAAGAGACAAAACAGUAUUGAGGACAUACUCCAAUACUUGAAGAAGGCAGAUACAAGGGCAGAGGAGAGGGAAGCUGAGGCAAAUGCGAGAGCAGAGGAGCGGGAUGACCGGUUGCUGCAGCAGUCCAACACUGUGCUGAUGGGGCUGAUGGAAAAUGACACACACACAGUUUCACUCCACAUAAUGUACCUAUCUGGAACAACAGAUGUAUUCUUUCCAAAAGAAAAUCUAUCUAUUAUGAGGACUGGGUGAGAAAGGGGAUUUGGUCCAUUUCACAUUUAACAGAUUCUAAAGGGAACCUUAUGAAGAAAUAUAAUUUACAAUGCUCAAAACAGCAAUAUCAUACAGUCAUCAAAGCUCUCCCAUUAGAAUUGUUAAAUCUAGUUGUGGCAUGUUGAGAUAUGAUAAAAUUACACCAAAUUCCCUUUACUCACCAUAGAUGAAUUUGAAUUUAAAGACAAAAACUGCUCAAAUAAAAUAAUAAGGAACAUUAUUACUACCAAAUUGUGUCCUCUCCCAUUAAAAAGAAUCCAUGUACUUAAAGAGUUUCCAGUUAAUAUCAUUGAAAAUUUUUAAAAAUUAGAACAAAUUUUUUUCUCAUUUCCAAUCUCCCCUAAAGCCAAAGAAACUCACUUUAAAAUUUUAAAUGAUAUUUACCCCUGUACAAUUCUUGAAAAAAACAUUUUAAUAUGGAGACCAAUAACUGCACCUUUUGUAACAGUGAAAUAGAAACUGUUGAACAUUUGUUCUUUUAUUGUAGCCGUAUUAGAACGUUUUGGGACUCAUUCCAAAUGUGGAUGGUGGAAUAUGACACAGAUUUACCAAAUGUAACUUAUAAAGAUAUAAAAUACAGAAUAAUUUUGGAAGACAACAAAAAACUGUUCUAUAAUUCUUGUUUAUUACUAGCCAAACAAUAAAACCCUUGUUCAAAAUAUAUCGUCAUGAUUUUU